GAUGAACGCUGGCGGCGCGCCUAACACAUGCAAGUCGAACGGCACCCCUCUCCGGAGGGAAGCGAGUGGCGAACGGCUGAGUAACACGUGGAGAACCUGCCCCCUCCCCCGGGAUAGCCGCCCGAAAGGACGGGUAAUACCGGAUACCCCGGGGCGCCGCAUGGCACCCCGGCUAAAGCCCCGACGGGAGGGGAUGGCUCCGCGGCCCAUCAGGUAGACGGCGGGGUGACGGCCCACCGUGCCGACAACGGGUAGCCGGGUUGAGAGACCGACCGGCCAGAUUGGGACUGAGACACGGCCCAGACUCCUACGGGAGGCAGCAGUGGGGAAUCUUGCGCAAUGGGGGGAACCCUGACGCAGCGACGCCGCGUGCGGGACGGAGGCCUUCGGGUCGUAAACCGCUUUCAGCAGGGAAGAGUCAAGACUGUACCUGCAGAAGAAGCCCCGGCUAACUACGUGCCAGCAGCCGCGGUAAUACGUAGGGGGCGAGCGUUAUCCGGAUUCAUUGGGCGUAAAGCGCGCGUAGGCGGCCCGGCAGGCCGGGGGUCGAAGCGGGGGGCUCAACCCCCCGAAGCCCCCGGAACCUCCGCGGCUUGGGUCCGGUAGGGGAGGGUGGAACACCCGGUGUAGCGGUGGAAUGCGCAGAUAUCGGGUGGAACACCGGUGGCGAAGGCGGCCCUCUGGGCCGAGACCGACGCUGAGGCGCGAAAGCUGGGGGAGCGAACAGGAUUAGAUACCCUGGUAGUCCCAGCCGUAA
rnacentral:rRNA from 1 species